UGCGGGGUGGAGCAGCCAGGUAGCUCGUCGGGCUCAUAACCCGAAGGCCUCAGGUUCGAAUCCUGACCCCGCUACCA
rnacentral:tRNA from 2 species